GACGAACCGUGCGAACGUUAUUCGGAAUCACUGGGCUUAAAGCGCGUGUAGGCGGGACGGCACGUCGGUCGCUGAAAGCCCCCGGCUCAACCGGGGAACGGGCGCCGAUACGACCGUCCUCGAGGGACGUAGGGGGACCUGGAACUUCCGGUGGAGCGGUGAAAUGCGUUGAGAUCGGAAGGAACGCCCGUGGCGAAAGCGAGGUCCUGGACGUUUACUGACGCUGAGACGCGAAAGCCAGGGGAGCGAA
rnacentral:rRNA from 1 species